UAUUUGAUAUACGGGCCUUUUUCAAAAAAUGUGGAUUUUCUUGUACAAUCAAUAUUUCUAAAAAAGUGUAAAUAUUUUUAUCCAAUUUUUAGAUACACCAUUUAGUUUUUGGUGUGUGUAACAAGUUCCAGCAAAUUCAAUAUGAAAUUUAGCUACAGAAAUUGCUUCCAGUGGGUUUCAAAGGGUCCAAAAACCCCAAAAUUGCUUGUACGAAAUUGAAAAACUAGUCUUUUUUAAAUCCUGGUUUUAAUACCCAGCGGAAAUUAUUAUUUUUCUUUUGUUAUUAUAAAUAUAUAGGUAUCACUGCAGGUAUGUAUACACAAAUACAGGGAAUUAUUAGAUUUUAUUAGCAUUUUUUUUUACUUUUCAUUUCGUACUUAAAAAAAUGUCAACUACAUAACACAAAUGAAAUAAUGUUGCCAAUAAACAACUGAUUAUAUCCCUUGUAACUAAGGAAGUGUUCUCUACUUACUCUUCAUCCUCUGAUGACGUGCUUAAAGUUACAGGAUG
rnacentral:lncRNA from 1 species